rnacentral:tRNA from 1 species
GGUGCGGUGGUCGAGUGGUAACAUUCUGGUCUACCAAUUCAGAGGUCCCCGGCCGGGGCACUG